rnacentral:lncRNA from 1 species
AAUAGAGUUUCUCUCUCCCUCUUUCUAUUACAACCGACCGGAUCUUGUCUCAGCUCAAACUUAAUCGAUCUGUAAAAAAGAUUGCUCAGAUCAGCCCAGGUACAUGUAAUAUCACUCGUUUUGUUGUUAGAUUAAAUAUAUUUUGUUGCAUGUAAUCUUAUUUUGAGGUGGAAUCUGAGAAUUUUAUUUUGAAUGAAAUUUCAGAUGUGACGGAUCCUCUGUUUCUUCCGAUAAGAGAUCUGAGUGAAGCUGAUCUUAAUCGAGCUAAUAUAUGUGUCUGAAGUGUACUGGAGGGAAGGAAAGGUCAACAAAACCAAAGCGUUGAUCUUGUCUCCAUUGAAAAAGAAGAUGUAUGAAAAGAAACUCGUUUUUGUGUCUAUAGCAU